rnacentral:rRNA from 1 species
AUUGAACGCUGGCGGCAUGCUUUACACAUGCAAGUCAAACGGCAGCAUGGGUGCUUGCACCUGAUGGCGAGUGGCGAACGGGUGAGUAAUACAUCGGAACGUACCAAGUAAUGGGGGAUAACUACUCGAAAGAGUGGCUAAUACCGCAUACGCCCUAAGGGGGAAAGCAGGGGAUCUUCGGACCUUGCGUUCUUUGAGCGGCCGAUGUCUGAUUAGCUAGUUGGUGGGGUAAGAGCCUACCAAGGCGACGAUCAGUAGCGGGUCUGAGAGGAUGAUCCGCCACACUGGGACUGAGACACGGCCCAGACUCCUACGGGAGGCAGCAGUGGGGAAUUUUGGACAAUGGGCGAAAGCCUGAUCCAGCCAUGCCGCGUGUAUGAAGAAGGCCUUCGGGUUGUAAAGUACUUUUGUUAGGGAAGAAAAGCUUGUUGCUAAUAUCAGCAAGUCAUGACGGUACCUAAAGAAUAAGCACCGGCUAACUACGUGCCAGCCGCCGCCGUAA